rnacentral:rRNA from 1 species
CACGUAGGGUGCAAGCGUUGUCCGGAAUUAUUGGGCGUAAAGGGCUCGUAGGCGGUCCGUCACGUCGGGAGUGAAAACUCGGGGCUCAACCCCGAGCCUGCUUUCGAUACGGGCGGACUAGAGGUAGGUAGGGGAGAACGGAAUUCCUGGUGUAGCGGUGAAAUGCGCAGAUAUCAGGAGGAACACCGGUGGCGAAGGCGGUUCUCUGGGCAUUACCUGACGCUGAGGAGCGAAAGUGUGGGGAGCGAACAGG